AUGGGAGAGUGUUAUAUACUAUCGAAUUCCAAAAACGAGGUCUGCCACAUGCGCAUAUCCUCGUCUUGCGUAAAGGAGACAAAGAUGGUGAUCACUGCCCUAGCUGCUCUUGUCCCAGGGAACAAGAAGUUGACUAUUUGUGUGUAUGUCUCAAGGCUGUGGCAGCAUUGUGGAACUACUGAUAAUGGUCCUAUCAUUCAUACUGACAUGGUGCUUGUGGAUGCUGAGGGUUCUCACAUCUAUGCUGAGAUCUCUAAAGACUGGGUAAGCAAGUUUAUGGAGAAGCUCAGGGAAGGCUGUGCUUAUGAGAUUUGUCAGUUUCUGGUGUUCCCAAAUAAGCGUCACUUUAAGGCCGUCAAUGCAGCAAACAUGAUCCGUUUCAAUAGAUUCACUACGGUCAAUCCUAAUACCGACCUGGAGGUUGCGUUCCCAUUUUGCACUAUGCACCUGUCCAACCUUAGUGUAGAUUAUUUGUAA
rnacentral:rRNA from 1 species